CGUGUAGGCGGCUUGAUAAGUCAGAUGUGAAAGCCCUGGGCUUAACCCAGGAAGUGCAUUUGAAACUGUCUUGCUUGAGUAAGGGAGGGGGAAGUGGAAUUCCUGGUGUAGAGGUGAAAUUCGUAGAUAUCAGGAGGAACACCGGUGGCGAAGGCGACUUCCUGGCCCUAUACUGACGCUGAGACGCGAGAGCGUGGGUAGCAAACA
rnacentral:rRNA from 1 species